AGAGUUUGAUCAUGGCUCAGGAUGAACGCUGGCGGCGUGCCUAACACAUGCAAGUCGAGCGAUUCUCUUCGGAGAAGAGCGGCGGACGGGUGAGUAACGCGUGGGUAACCUGCCCUGUACACACGGAUAACAUACCGAAAGGUAUGCUAAUACGGGAUAACAUAAGAAAUUCGCAUGUUUUUCUUAUCAAAGCUCCGGCGGUACAGGAUGGACCCGCGUCUGAUUAGCUAGUUGGUGAGGUAACGGCUCACCAAGGCGACGAUCAGUAGCCGACCUGAGAGGGUGAUCGGCCACAUUGGAACUGAGACACGGUCCAAACUCCUACGGGAGGCAGCAGUGGGGAAUAUUGCACAAUGGGCGAAAGCCUGAUGCAGCAACGCCGCGUGAGCGAUGAAGGCCUUCGGGUCGUAAAGCUCUGUCCUCAAGGAAGAUAAUGACGGUACUUGAGGAGGAAGCCCCGGCUAACUACGUGCCAGCAGCCGCGGUAAUACGUAGGGGGCUAGCGUUAUCCGGAUUUACUGGGCGUAAAGGGUGCGUAGGCGGUCUUUUAAGUCAGGAGUGAAAGGCUACGGCUCAACCGUAGUAAGCUCUUGAAACUGGAGGACUUGAGUGCAGGAGAGGAGAGUGGAAUUCCUAGUGUAGCGGUGAAAUGCGUAGAUAUUAGGAGGAACACCAGUAGCGAAGGCGGCUCUCUGGACUGUAACUGACGCUGAGGCACGAAAGCGUGGGGAGCAAACAGGAUUAGAUACCCUGGUAGU
rnacentral:rRNA from 1 species